GCAAGCCUCGGCAGCACAUACGAUAAAUUGGAAUCAAUACAGAGAAGAUUAGCAUGGCCCCUGUGGCGGGAUGACACGCAAAUUCGUCAAGAGUUGAGGCUUGCC